GUCUGAAUUGUGUUCCCCCCAAAAUCCAUAUGUUGAAGUUCCAACUCCCAGUGCCUUAAAAUAUGACCAUAUUUGGAGAUAGGGCCUCAAAGGAGGUGAUGAAGUUAAAGUGAGGUCAUCGAGGGGUCACCAUAAUUCAUUAUGACUGGUGUCCUUUCAGGAAGAGGAGAUUAGGACACAGACACACACAGAGGGAAGACCAUGUGAAGACACAGAGGGAAGAUGGCCAUGGAAAAGCUAGAGAGAGAGAGUUCUCAGAAGAAAUAACUCUGCCAACACCUUGAUCUCAGAUUUCUAGCCUCCAAAGGUUAUACCAUGCAGUUUCUCAAAACUAUUUCAAGGACAUGUUGGAAGGAAUUGGAGGUUGCAGUUGACUCUGUUGUAGCCUUGCCAGCAUACCUUUUCUGGACUGAAAGCACCUGUCUCUCACUUUCUAAGAGUGUGAAGAGUGAACACAAGCAGAGAGAAUGUACAUUAAGUCACUGAUUUGACAACAUCUAGGAGCCAGCGCAAGCCAGUAUGAGUAGCAGACUCAGUCUCCCUUUAGUGCCAAGCAGAAGAUUACUCAUGGAGAUAGAGUGGAGCACCUGGGAGAAAUGGAUUCUGAGGAAACAGAAGCAUCGCCUUGAUAUUAUUCCCUUGAGUGUGAUUAUAAACCAUGAAAUGAGUGACAGACAAAAACUGCUUAAGUUGAGGCAUAUAUUUUCACUGUAUUUUGGAUGCUGCUACUCUGACAAUGUAUUUUAAGCCUAGUAUUCUUUCUUCUUUUUUGUUCUUUUUUUUUUUCUUUAAAUUCUCAUUCACUUGUGUGAAAGCUGCUCUUCUCAAGACUGAAGCUUUUCUGUAGUAAUGUCUGCUUAGAUUUGAAUCUACUAGGGCCUUGGCACAUACAGCUAGAAUGCUCUAUUUUUAAAGAUAUAUUGUGUCUGUUAAUACAAAGGUCAUGAUGUAGAUUUUUGCACUUAGAAUCAGCAUGAGAAUGUGGAACUGUUCCUUGCAGAUCUUGGCUCCAUCAGCAAAUAAAUUAAAAUAAAC
rnacentral:lncRNA from 1 species